rnacentral:rRNA from 1 species
GCAAGUCGAACGAGAAAGCACCUUCGGGUGUGAGUAGAGUGGCGCACGGGUGAGUAACGCGUAGGUAAUCUGCCUCAUAGCGGGGGAUAACCAGGAGAAAUUCUGGCUAAUACCGCAUACGGUCUAUGACAUGGAAAAAAUAGACGAAAGGGUGCCUCUCCUUGGAAGCACUUACUAUGAGAUGAGCCUGCGUUGCAUUAGCUUGUUGGUGGGGUAAUGGCCUACCAAGCCUACGAUCUAUAGCUGGUCUGAGAGGAUGAUC